GGUUUCCACGCAGCUACAGGGAGAGAGGCGCUGCGCUCAGACAGGAGGCAGGAUCCAUGGCAACAAUCAUGGCAGAAGCAGAGACUCGCCAGAAGCUGCUGCGCACCGUAAAAAAGGAGGUGAAGCAGAUUAUGGAGGAAGCUGUCACCAGGAAAUUUGUUCAUGAAGACAGCAGUCAUAUUGUGUCCUUUUGUGGUGAG